ACAUGAUGUUUAUAGGUUCAGGGGCCCUACUACCAUCGCUUAAAGUAAUAAUGUUUCAAUAUUGUUUUGACAAUUU